rnacentral:rRNA from 1 species
CGCUGGCGGCGUGCCUAAUACAUGCAAGUCGAGCGGAAUGAUGAAGAAGCUUGCUUCUUCUGAUUUUAGCGGCGGACGGGUGAGUAACACGUGGGCAACCUACCUUGUAGAUUGGGAUAACUCCGGGAAACCGGGGCUAAUACCGAAUAAUCCAUUUUGCUUCAUGGCGAGAUGUUGAAAGACGGUUUCGGCUGUCACUAUAAGAUGGGCCCGCGGCGCAUUAGCUAGUUGGUAGGGUAAUGGCCUACCAAGGCGACGAUGCGUAGCCGACCUGAGAGGGUGAUCGGCCACACUGGGACUGAGACACGGCCCAGACUCCUACGGGAGGCAGCAGUAGGGAAUCUUCCACAAUGGACGAAAGUCUGAUGGAGCAACGCCGCGUGAGUGAAGAAGGUUUUCGGAUCGUAAAACUCUGUUGUAAGGGAAGAACACGUACGAGAGUAACUGCUCGUACCUUGACGGUACCUUAUUAGAAAGCCACGGCUAACUACGUG